UCGAGAAUCUUUCGCAAUGGGCGCAAGCCUGACGGAGCGACGCCGUGUGAGUGAAGAAGGCCUUCGGGUUGUAAAGCUCUUUCGCAUGGGAACAAGGGAGGUUAGCGAAUAACUAACCGACUUGAGAGUACUAAGUAAAGAAGCACCGGCUAACUCUGUGCCAGCAGCUGCGGUAAUACAGAGGGUGCAAGCGUUAAUCGGAAUUAUUGGGCGUAAAGGACGCGUAGGCGGAGAUGUAAGUCAGAUGUGAAAUUCCAGAGCUCAACUUUGGAGCUGCAUGAGAAACUGCAUUUCUAGAGGAUAGGCGGGG
rnacentral:rRNA from 1 species